GCUGAACUCACAUGGAUGUCCUUUAUUCUUAACGAUCUUCACGUUCCGUUGGCAUCUACACCAACUCUCUACUAUGAUAACACAAGUGCUCUUCACAUGACAAUAAAUCCGGUGUUUCAUGCUCGUAGCAAACACAUCGAGUUGGAUUACCAUUUUGUGCGUGAACGAGUUGCCCUUGGACUUCUCGUUACUCAACAUAUCUCCACCGAAAAGCAAGUAGCAGACCUCUUCACCAAACCAAUGUCAAAGGCUGCACUUAGUAAAUUUCAAACCAAACUUUGCCUCCAACCCCGGCACAGUUUGAGGGAGGGUAUUGGCACAACCCAGCAGCACCUUGGCUUGAAUUGUGGGACUCACACAACCCAGCAGCACCUUGGCGUGAAUUGUGGGACUCAACGGAGUGAUAAGGAUGGAAGUGAUAAGGCUGAAAACUCCCACAAUUCAUGCUAUAAUAGUGGAGAGACGUUGAAAAAUGAAGAAGUCUCAAUGGCAACAACUUCUACUCGAAAUGGUAGUUUGACUAGUUAAGGAGUUAUCAACAAACUGAUUGAAGAAAAUCCCGGAUUCAAAACAGAGCUUAUCUUGUAGAUUUUUUUGUUAUCCUAACAUAUCUUGGAGAAUUUCAUUAUCUCAGUUUUCUGGUGUUUAAAUAGAGGAAGUGGUCCUCUGUAUGUAUUAAAAAAGAAAUAAGAAACAAGUUGUUACACCUCUAGCCGUGUUCACGUUUACAUUCACUCCUUCCUUCUUCUGUUUUUUUCAAUUUUCUUCUGAAAUCCCAUGGAGAGGGACGUGAUUGCUGCUCAUGGCAUGGUGUGGAGUGUGAUAGGGAGAGUGGUCAUGUGAUCGGCCUUCACCUUGCUAGCAGUCAUCUCUACGGUUCUAUUAACUGCAGCAGCACCCUCUUCAGUCUUGUUCAUCUCCGGAGGCUUGAUCUCUCUGAUAAUGAUUUCAAUUACUCUAGGAUCCCACAUGGAGUCGGUCAGCUUUCAAGGCUUAGAAGUCUCAACCUCUCGAAUUCUCAGUUCUCUGGCCAAAUCCCAUCGAAACUCUUAGCACUGUCCAAAUUGGUUUCCCUUGAUCUCUCGAGCAACCCAACGUUGCAGCUUCAAAAGCCUGACUUGAGAAAUUUGGUUCAGAACUUAAUCCACUUAAAAGAACUUCAUCUAAGCCAGGUGAACAUUUCUUCUACUGUCCCUGUUAUUUUGGCAAACUUAUCUUCUUUGAGAUCUCUCUCCCUUGAAAAUUGUGGAUUGCAUGGUGAAUUCCCCAUGGGGAUUUUCAAGCUGCCAAGCUUAGAACUCCUUGAUCUGAUGUCUAAUAGAUAUCUGACUGGCCAUUUGCCUGAAUUUCACAAUGCUAGUCACCUCAAAUAUUUGGAUCUCUAUUGGACAAGUUUCUCUGGUCAGCUACCAGCUUCCAUUGGAUUCCUUAGUUCCUUGAAGGAAUUGGAUAUCUGCUCAUGCAAUUUCAGUGGGAUGGUUCCAACUGCACUCGGCAACCUUACCCAGCUUACCCACCUGGACCUUUCAAGUAACUCAUUUAAGGGUCAGCUCACCUCUUCAUUGACCAACCUUAUCCAUCUCAAUUUCUUGGAUAUUUCUAGGAAUGAUUUCAGUGUUGGGACCUUGUCUUGGAUUAUUGUCAAGCUGACCAAAUUCACUGCUUUGAACCUUGAAAAGACCAAUUUAAUUGGUGAGAUCUUGCCUUCUCUUUCAAACCUAACUGGACUGACUUAUUUAAACCUGGAGUAUAAUCAACUUACUGGUAGAAUUCCACCAUGCCUUGGGAACCUGACCCUGUUAAAAACCUUAGGUCUUGGGUACAAUAAUUUGGAAGGUCCAAUACCAAGCUCAAUAUUUGAACUGAUGAACCUUGAUACUCUCAUUCUACGUGCAAACAAGUUGAGUGGCACAGUGGAGCUGAACAUGCUUGUUAAGCUCAAAAAUCUCCACAAACUCGGCUUGUCUCAUAACGAUCUAUCAUUGCUCACUAACAACAGUCUCAAUGGUUCUCUUCCAAGGCUUAGGCUUUUAGGAUUAGCUUCAUGCAACUUGAGCGAGUUCCCACAUUUCCUAAGGAACCAAGAUGAAUUGAAGUUUUUAACACUUUCUGACAACAAAAUUCAUGGCCAAAUACCAAAGUGGAUGUGGAACAUGGGUAAAGAAACUCUUUGGGUCAUGGACCUAUCUAACAACUUAUUAACCUGCUUCGAGCAGGCCCCAGUUGUCCUUCCAUGGAUUACUCUACGAGUUCUAGAGCUUAGUUAUAAUCAGCUACAAGGGUCCCUUCCAGUUCCACCAUCUUCCAUCUCUGAUUAUUUUGUCCAUAACAACAGACUAAAUGGAAAAUUUCCGUCGUUGAUUUGCAGCUUGCAUCAUCUUCACAUUCUUGAUUUGUCGAAUAACAACUUAAGUGGCAUGAUUCCUCAAUGUUUGAGCGACUCCAGCGAUUCUCUAUCAGUGUUGAAUCUACGAGGCAACAACUUUCAUGGGAGCAUUCCUCAAACAUUCACCAGCCAAUGCAGAUUAAAGAUGAUUGAUUUUAGUUACAAUCAGUUAGAGGGGCAGAUACCAAGAUCAUUGGGCAAUUGUAAAGAGCUUGAGAUUCUGAAUCUUGGAAACAAUCAGAUCAAUGAUACGUUCCCCUUUUGGUUGGGAUCUUUUCCAGAGUUGCAACUUCUCAUUUUGCGGCAUAACAGAUUUCAUGGCGCAAUCGAGAAUCCUAGAGCCAACUUUGAGUUCCCCACGCUGUGUAUCAUUGACCUCUCGUACAAUAAUUUUGCAGGAAAUUUGCCAGCAGGCUACUUUCUCACAUGGGUGGCCAUGAGCAGGGUCGAUGAAGAGAAUUUUUCAUAUAUGCAGUCAAUGACGGGAUUUGUCCUAAUCCGAACAUAUCGGCUUUAUGAAAACUACAAUUACUCAAUGACAAUGACGAACAAAGGCAUGGAAAGGGUGUACCCGAAGAUCCCUCGCAGUUUUAAAGCAAUUGAUCUCUCAAGCAACAAAUUUAUAGGAGAGAUCCCAAAAUCCAUUGGGAAACUCAGGGGACUUCAUUUGCUCAACAUUUCCUCCAACAGUCUUACUGGUCACAUCCCAUCUUUUCUUGGGAACUUAGCACAGCUUGAGGCACUGGACCUAUCUCAAAACAAUCUCUCAGGAGAGAUCCCUCAGCAGCUAAAGGGAAUGACAUUCCUUGAGUUCUUCAAUGUUUCUCACAAUCAUCUCAUGGGACCUAUACCGCAAGGGAAGCAAUUUAAUACAUUUCAGAACGACUCAUACGAGGGAAAUCCAGGAUUGUGCGGAAAUCCUUUGUCAAAGGAGUGUGAAAACUCUAAGUCAACAGCACCACCACCACCAACCGACAAACAUGGAGGGGACUUGGAGAGUGGCCGCAAAGUUGAGUUGAUGAUAGUAUUGAUGGGAUAUGGAAGUGGUCUGGUAGUUGGAAUGGCAAUUGGUUACACCUUAACCACAAGGAAACAUGAAUGGUUUGUCAAGACUUUCGGCAAGAGGCAGAGAAAGUGUUGAAGGAAUGUUGCAGUAUCAGUAGAUGGAUUGAUGUCAAUCUUUGUGAUUUCCAUGUAAGAAGUAAAUAAAAGUUGCUCCUCCUUCUUAUGUAAUAUUUUUCCAUUUUACUUCUUCUGUUUUCUUUAAUUUGAGUUUUUUGUUGUAUGCAAUAUUCAGAAUGAAUACCUAUUGAUUGAGUAUGCUUUGGGCUUAUUGGGAAGUGUUUCAAAUUCCUGGUUAGUUUAGAUUUCUUUUUGUGAAAGAAUAUUGUAUGGAACAUUUCGUAUAUUCAUAUAGCAUCGUGAUAUUAGAUUUUUUUAUGAAAUAAAGUUAUUAAAAAUAUCUCUAUAAAUAUUCUAAGUUAUAAGGGGAAAAGUCAUAAGAUGGAGAUGAACUUAUAAAGACUAUAGAAGAUGGAUAGGGAUAUGAGGAAGAAUGAGAGAUACCUAAUAGAACAUGGGGCUCAUGGUUCAUGAUGUAGAUACGAGGAAUGAGGAAAUAUGAAAUGUUUCAAGAACCCAAUAAUUAUAUCUGAUGUAUGUCUUUUGUAAUUUUAUUUGUGGUAUAGUGAAGUGGUUUUCUUUCAUUUGUGUAGAUUAAUAGUUAUAAUCACCCUAACCCUUUAUUUUCAUAAUCCCAUCUUCUUAGAGUCUCAAUGAAUGACUUCACUCUUCUUGAUUCACCACUUACAAUUGCUAUUAUAAUUGAUUUCUUUUAUUUUUCUUGCUUGUCUUUUCUUACUUCCUUUGGAACCCUGUAAACCCAUUUCCUUUCAACUUAAUUAGUAGAAAUUAAUGACACCUAAUUAAGAAGACAAUGGGGGACAAGGGAAAGGAAAAGAGAGCAAAUUGAGAAGGCUCCACAAGAGGCAUUGAUAAAAGUUAGAAAUGAUACUGAAUUGUUUUCCUCACCGGAGUGGUAUGCUAUAAGUUUAAAAUCUUAUUUCUUUGUAAUAUUGUUUUUGGUCAUAAAAUAGAUUUUGUGGAGAUAGAGUACCUCAAUUUUGCAGGCCCAUUCACUAGAAUUGGAUGGUUGUCCAUCGUCUUUAUGGUAUACCCCUAAUUGAUUUACUCUUUUAUUCAAAUAUAAGAUAUGAGUUUUGAGGUCCUAUAAGGAGUGAGAAAACAAAGGCUAUGCUUAGUUAAGAAAAACACCCAAAAGGGGGGGUGAACUGGGUUUUUUUUAAAUAUUUUCAAUCACAACAAAUUCAAACAAAAUAUAAGCAAAGUAAAGAGAUAGAGUUUAGAGAAUUCAAACUCGAGUUUAUAGUGGUUCGACACUUCCUUGCCUACGUUCACUCUCCUCAACCUCCUAACCGAGUGAGGGUUCCACUAACUUGAAGCUUCAACCAAGCUUCCAAUCUUCUUACACUUGGAUUCCGGCUCCAAUGGGCUCUUACACAACCUCUUCAAGAUUCAACCCUCUUGAAGGUUUUAACACUCAGAUUUUUACAAAAUAUAAUCCCUCAACCUAGCUUAAGGAUAGCUCAAAUACAAGACAAGGCUAGGAUGACACACAAGAGUGCACUAAGGGAUAUGCAAGUGGUAAUUUAAUGCAUUAUGAAAGAAAUGAUAGCUUUUUUUAUCAAGAACAGGUAGGUAGGCUAUUGAAUGCAAGUGUUCUAUUGUCAAUAAAUGAAGUGGAGCUCUCAAUUUAUAGGUUUCUAAGCUCGGGAGUCAAAAACAGCAAAAGGUAACCUCGUCCGGUCGAGCUAGGGGUCGACCAGUUCACUAGCCGUUGGAGCAUUUAAUGCAUGACAAGUUACCGUUGCCUCAACCGGACCGCGACCGAGAAGAGAAGGCUACUGGGAGAGAGAUAAUGUUUUUUACAUCCCUCGACCGGUCGAUCGGUUCCUCAACUGGUUGAGCCGGUUGAGCCUUUUUGGCCCCGAAAUUUUUUUUUUUUAUUCCUUUAUUUUCUAACACUUAGGCAAGGUCUUUAGGUAAAUCAUUAAGCCAAUUUUAAAACAUUUUGCCUAAGGUACAUUAGUUAGAAACUCGGGUUUUAAUGAAAUCGAAGCUUUAAAUAAUAAACCGAGUUUUCUAAGAUGCAUGAAACGUAUGAAAAUCCUAAGUGCACUCAUGCAUUCAUCUUACAUUAAUUUCCUAUGAUCACAAGUCUUCCAAGCGUCUCGAUCUUGUAUCCAUUUGGUCAUUUGAUGAAUUUUCAAGUUUAUACCUGAGAUUCUUAAACAUUUAAACCAAUUAGACACUUAACCAUGGUUUGUUAUCAUCAAAACCCGAUUAGGAGAACUCUUGGGCUAACAAGAAGUAUUAUUAUGUCUUUUGAUGUGGAGAGAUUGUGAACCCUCCUAGAGAUACCAGAUAAGGGUAUGCGUUUGCAUGAGAUAAAGAAUUGCCCCCAAAGUAAAGGCUUUUCAAUAGUAAAGGUAUUGAAUGGAUGCGUAACCGACAUUUCCUCCAAUGCACUUAUAAACCCCAAGCUUGUCAACUCACUAUAUUGAGUGGACUCUUCCAUCAUAUGAUGUGUUACAUCUUUGUAUAUAAGAGAGGUGAAAAUAUUAAGAUACCAUAGCAAUAUCUAUAAACAAAUAUAUAGAUAUAUAUAUAUAUAUAUAGAUCAUUGAAUAUGUAAUAAAAUCUCAAUCAUCAAAUUAGGAUAUAAACAAAUGAGACCAAGAUAGAAAGGUACAAAUAAAUAAGACUAAGGUACAAAUAAUAAAACUUGAAAUGUGUAUAUGAUACCACCUAAUUGAUAAUACUUUUCGAUAGAUAUAAAACAAAGUACAUUUCUAUAUUGGCAAACCCUAAGAAAAGACAUCAUAAUGAUGAUUCAUUUCUAAAAGCAUUUUUAGUAGACAGUAUUCUCAACCUUAGUCAGGUGAAUCUAGAUUACAUCAUGUUCUAGCACUAGAAAUAGUCCUUUGUAUUGCCAUUUAGAAUCGUCAUCACUAAGAUCAUAUGUGCUUUCCACAUCAAUUUAUAUACUUCCAUGAAUAAAUAAAUAUAAUGUAAAAAAUGGCUUAAGGGUUGGUAUUUUAAAUUUUCAUCAUCUCAUAUACAAUAUUAUGACGUCUUUUUUAGUUUUAAUAUUCAGAGUAGAGGUUAGGUUUUUCUCUAAAAUUCCUCAAGGGGCUUCUUAGACUGGGCUUUAGGUCAACUUAUCAAAUUUACAUCCCUAGGCCACAAUUAAAAGAUUUUUUUUUUAAUAUAUUUGUAACACUUUUAAAAAAAAGUUAGAAAAAUAAUUUGGGAUUUACAAUAGUUAAAAAGCCAUUUUCAAAUUUUAGUAUUUAAAUUAAGUUAUUUUUAAAAAAGACAAUUUUUUAUUUGACACCUCACAAUAUGUUGUAAUUUUGGAAAUAAUUUUCAAAUCACUAUAUUUAAAAAAAAAAAAAAAGAUUUUACAUUUUUAUUUUUCUGCGAAAUCCGGCAAAUGAGGAUCAUAUUUGGCGAAAUGGGUCUUUUUUGGAUCAUGUGGGGAUUUCCACACCAAUAUCUGUGGCAUCUAGGCACCACAUAUACAUCAGACCCACAAGAUUUUUAGGUGCCACGUGGCCAUGCAAUAACCUCUAUCUCUCUUCAAAAAUCAGCAUGGAAAUCCACACCCAAAACAACAGCCAAUCAGAUGGUGCUGAUGUGUAGAUAUCCUAAUCCACAGCAUCUUCCCACUUCCCUUAUAACUUCUCCUCUCUUCUCCUUCCCACCCAUCUCCCUAGUCUUCACUAUUCUCCUUGCAACUUUAGAGCAAAACCUCAUCAACAAAGAAGAUUAGCUGAGUAUCAUGGCAACUUCUGCAAUCCAGAGAUCAGCAUUCGCCGGCCAGACCGCCUUGAAGCAGCCCAAUGAGCUUGUCCGGAAGGUUGGUGGCCUCGGUGGUGGCCGCAUCACCAUGCGCCGGACUGUUAAAAGCACCCCACAAAGCAUAUGGUAAGUGAAUACUCUUGAGUUUUCUGAGUUUUUGAGUAAGCUGUAGGAGCAACUACAAUGAACUUUGGCUUCCCAAAUUUACUUUUGAUUCCCACUGGGAUGGUGGGAUGUGUCCAUGCAGUAGCCUGCUUCCAUUUUAAAGCUUGAAAUCCCAUGCAACAACUAGAUUUCAAUCAGUCUUCAUGGAAGUUGCUUUCAUCGAAUUCAAUAUUUUAUCUCUUUCCUAGAGGCAUUUCAGAGAACCGAAAAAAUAGGAAAAUAGUAAGCUUUUGAAGGGCCUUUUUUGGAUCUGCGAUCUGCUUAGCUAGUCUGUCUUUGCCAGACAAAUUAUUGAAGAAAAGUCUGAUUGGAAAACUUCAACCUAAUUGAAAUAUAUGUAGUGGUUUUGAGCAUGAUCUCUGGCGAAUUCACCAAAUGAUAUGCUCUGUUUAAUCUAGAGAAUGUUAUAUUAGGAGACAAGUUUUUGAAUUACAGUAGGAAGAAAUAAAUUGCAUAUAAACCAAAUUGUGAAAGUUGGCAAAUAGUUAAUAACAUCAAAAUCUGUAAACAAAGGUUAAUUAAGAUCUGAUUUACAUGUCCUGCUCCUGCAACUGAAAAAACAGGUAUGGCCCAGACCGCCCCAAGUACUUGGGCCCAUUCUCUGAGCAAACUCCAUCAUACCUGACCGGUGAAUUCCCUGGUGACUAUGGGUGGGACACUGCUGGGUUAUCAGCAGAUCCUGAGACAUUCGCCAAGAACCGUGAGCUCGAGGUCAUUCACUGCAGAUGGGCAAUGCUUGGUGCACUGGGUUGUGUCUUCCCUGAGAUUCUUUCAAAGAAUGGUGUCAAAUUUGGUGAGGCUGUCUGGUUCAAGGCUGGAGCUCAGAUCUUCUCAGAGGGCGGUCUCGACUACCUUGGCAACCCCAACCUUGUUCAUGCCCAGAGCAUCCUUGCAAUCUGGGCCUGCCAAGUUGUGCUCAUGGGAUUCGUUGAAGGAUACCGUGUUGGUGGAGGCCCACUUGGUGAGGGACUGGAUGCAAUUUACCCAGGUGGGGCUUUUGACCCACUUGGUUUGGCAGAUGACCCUGAUGCAUUUGCAGAACUGAAGGUGAAGGAGAUCAAGAACGGUCGCCUGGCAAUGUUUUCAAUGUUUGGAUUCUUCGUUCAGGCUAUUGUCACUGGAAAGGGCCCAAUUGAGAACCUCGUUGACCACCUUGCUGAUCCAGUUGCCAACAACGCAUGGGCUUAUGCCACCAACUUUGUCCCCGGCAAGUGAAGAUAAGUGUGAGAUUCACCUUUUCAGCUGUAACAUUACUUAACCUUGUUGGUCUUUAUUGAACUUGUCUUCUGUGGAUUGGGUUGGUAAUGAUGUAAUUUGCUAGUAGAACUGCUUGGAACUACUGUAUUACUAAUGAGACCAGCUCCUUUGUUGCCAUAGUUUGUGUUUCCCUUUUCUUGCAUACUUACCUGCAUUCAAUACAUCUACAUCUUAAAAAAAAAAAAAAAACAUAACCAAUGCUUGAAAAUUUUCAGAAUUUAUAAAAACAUUUUCCUACAUCAAAGAGGAGUAAAAAAAAUCCUCACAAAAUAAGCUCAGGAACACUCCUUUGUCCACCAAAAGAAGUAAUCCAUAGUGAAACAACCUACACUAAUGUGUUGUUGAUUAGAGCAUACUUUAAGACCAUUACCUGGGAACUUCCGACCAACUUGAAUCCCUGUAAGAACUGAGACCAACAACAGCUAUAGGCUUUAGAGGGUCAGUUGAAACUAUCUGCAAUUAUAAUAUUCUGGUGGCUACUUAUUUGGGCAAAGGAACAAAAAGCUUUUAUGGUAGUCAAAAUACCAAGUGAUCACCAAUAAUCCAUGCAAGAACAGGAGCCAUUUUUGAAAUGAUGAAAACGGCAAUUAUCUCUCACAAUGAUUUCACGGCUAUAGAUUUUAGAAAGGAGCUUAGUUACAGAGUGACAGUCAUUACAAACACGAAGAUUCUUCAUGAUGCGGAUGGGAAUCCCUGGUUUCACAUUAAUGAGACCAAAAGCAAUAGCCAACCUCUCACUGUGGUUUUCCAGUUCAGCUUCCUUCUCUUUCUCCCCUUCAAUACACAGCAGAACUUGGGUUGUGUCUGGAACAUGUCCCACACAUUUUAGUUUUUCCUUCAUCUCACUCAUCUUAGCAUAUAUCUCCUUAGUUUGAGGAUGUGAUAUAUCACCCACAAUAAACUCAUGAAGUGUGCCUUUAUGCUCUACUGAACUGCAUCCUGGGUCUUUUCUAAAUCCUCUCUUGUACAUCAUUUCUCGUACAUGUGAAACUUUUUCCCACAUUCCAGAUGCUGCAUACAUGUUAGACAAAAGAAUAUAACAUCCAAUGGUCUCUGGAGCCACCUCAAUUACACGUUGAGCUGCAUAUUCCCCAAUAUCUAUUUUUCCAUGGUUUCUAGAACCACCAAGUAAACUCAUCCAAAUUACUUUAUUUGGACUUAUUGGCAUAUUCUCUAUGGUAUUCUUUGCCUCUUCAAGAUGUCCAGCUCGACAUAGAAUGUCCACCAAGCAGCCAUAGUGUUCCAGUGUGGGUUCUAUUUUGUAUUCAUUCAUCAUCAUAUCAAAAUACUGACGACCAUCAUCAACCAAUCCUGCAUGAUUACAAGCAUUCAACACUCCAAUGAAAAUGAUAGCAUUAGGCUUUAAGCCAGUUUUGCACAUUUCAAGAAAUAACGCAAGAGCAUGAUUGGCCAUACCAUGGAUUCCUAAUCCUACAAUUAUAGCAGUCCAAUGCCCCACCUUCUUCUUCUGUAUUGCUCGAAAAACUGUUAAAGCACUCUCAAUGCACCCACACUUUGCAUACAUUUCUAUCAAGGAUGUCCCAAGUAUACCAUCCAGCUCAAAUCCAUUCUUUUCCAUGUAAGAGUGAAUCCAUCUUCCCUUACCAAGAACAGCUAAUCCCGACACAGCAGAAAGAACACUGACUAAAGUAGCAUGACUAGGUCUAGAACCCAAUUUCAACAUCAUAAAAAACAUCUUCACAGCAUCCAUAAACUGCCCAUUCAAUUCAUACCCUGCAAUCAUCAAAUUCCAUGUAACCAAAUCCCAUAUUGGCAUCUGAUAAAACAAUUCAAGUGCUGAAUCAAAAUCCCCCGAUUUCAUAUACCCAUUAAUCAUAGCAUUCCAAGAAACCAAGUUCCUACAAGGCAUCUGAUCAAAUAACUUCCUAGCACUCUCCACCUUGCCACACUUCGACAACCCAUCAACCAAAACAGUCCACGAAAAAGCAUCUCUUUCAGGCAUCUCCUCAAACAACUGCAAUGCAAUAUCAAUCUCCCCACAUCUAGCAUACCCAUCAAUCAAAGAGUUCCACAAAACCACAUCCUUAUCAAUCAUUCCAUCAAACACCUUACGAGCGCAAUCAAUCUCACCACACUUGGAAUACAUAUUCACCAAGCUACCCUGCACAAACACAUCAGACCCGAACCCAAUUUUCAAAGCCAACCCAUGAAUCUGCUUCCCCUCCUGAACCACACCCAACCGAGCACAACCCUUAAUCACACAAGGCAAAGUGAAAUUAUCAGGCAGAUAUUCAUGAACCAAUUCAUGGAAAAGAACAAUACCAUCAUGGGAAAAUUGAUUUUCAACAUAGCAUUUAAUGAUAGUGUUCCAAUGAAUCAAACUCCGUCGUUGAAUUCGGUCGAAAAUGGAUCGGGCGUAACCGAGAUCAUUGAUUUUUGGGUCCGAGUAAAGAGCUAAGAGGCGAGAAGAGACAAAAGGGUGAUUAAAAAUGGCUGUUUUCAGGGAAAAAGCGUGGAGUUGUUCAACUUCUUGUGGGGCUGAGCAGGUUUGGAAAAGAGACAAAUGGAGGUUGUGAGGAAGGUAUUGUUGGAGAGAGUGGAAAGGCGUGAGCUUCAACAUCAGAAGAGCAGCUCGCAAAAUUUUCUAACUGUAAAUGGCGCUAAACGGAAGAAAUGAAUAACGGUCUUCACAUUUUGUGCUAAAUUAUGAAGUUAUUUUUUGUUUAAUAAAAAUGAAUAUUUAGAAAAAAAAUAAAAUAAAAUAAAAAAUCAUUGUAUGCUUGCUGCAGAAAAAUAAUUUAAUAAUUAAUAAAAAAAAUUCAAUCAAAUUAAUAUUUUAAUAUAAUAUUAAAAACUUGGAUAUACAUAGCAUAGUAACUUUUCGAUUAAUUAUUAUUUAUGUAUAUUGAAUAAUAUAAUAAAAAUUUAUUUAUAAAAUUUAAAUAUUUUAAUCAUGAAUAUCCUCAAAUAUAAAAAAGUUUUCACAUUUAAAAAAAAAAUAUUGGACUACAAUAUAUUUCUAUUUUAAAUAUUAAAAAAUAGUAUAUAUUCAAUUUUAUUUUUUUAUUGAUUUUACAAACUAAAUAUAAACAUAACAUUACAUAUUCUAUUAAAUAUAUUAUUUUAAGAUAUAAUGUUUAUUCAAUUUAAUAUAUAAAGAUAUGAUAUCCCAUAAAAAUUAUAUUAUAUAAUAUGUAUUUUCUAUUAAAUGUAAUAUUAUAUUCUAAUAUAUACAUAUCAUAUCUAAUCCUAUCAAUCGAACAUAGCUUAAAUGUAAAAAUUAUGGAUUUUAUCAACUAUAAAAACACACAUAAUUUUACCUAAACUCAUAUAUCACUUUUCUAACGUUACAAAUAAAUUAUACACAAAAAAAAAUCACAAAAUCAAAAAAGAGAAAAACCCUAAAACCAAAAAGUAGUUAAAUUAUUAUUAUUUUUCAAAUAAUUUUUAUUAUGUAUAAUUUUUUUUAUAGUAAAUUAAUGAAGAAAAUUUGAUUUUUUUUUCUAUCUUUUUUCCUCCUUUACUUAUCAUGAUGUAUGAUGGGGUUAAUGAUUUUCAAUGCUUAGAAAAAUCUUUUAUUUAUAGAAUAUAAAAGAGAUGUGUUUGGUAAUUUAUAGAAAUUUUAAAUUGAUUUUUAACCAUUGUUUUGACACCAUCAUCUCAUCAAGUCUUUAUAAUAUUUUCAAACUCUUUUUGGUAUAGUAAUUGUAAAAAUUUAUGCCCAUAGUCUCUUCAAAGGCAAUGUCAUAUAUGUGGUUUGUUUCUUUUUUUCUUUUUUUUUCUAGAAAUUAAUUUUAUUAAGCUAAGUUACAAAUGUAAUAGAAGAAAAGAAUAAAUUUCCAAUUUUUAUGUUAUCAUAUUUAAAGAGAAAAUAAAUUUUAACUUAAAUACAAGGGAAAAAAAAAACCGGAGGGGGGUGUGGAGUUCUUACUUCUUAUCCUCAAAAAACCUUUUUUUAAGGAAAAACUUUUUUUUUAUUUUAUGAAAAUAGAGUAUGAAAGGAAAAUACUUAUAAAUUCGAUCUAAUAAUCUUCGAAACCAACUUUGUAACAUCUUUAAAAAAAAUUGACUAUUAAAUGAUUGACUUUAUAUUAAAAAUAUUUUUCUAUCUGCUUCGUUAUAAAUAUGACAACAAUCGUGAAUAUUUAAAUCUUGAAAUAAUAUCCUCUAUUAAUAACAUAAUAAAAUUAGGAAUAUUACUCUUUUUAUUAUAAUAAUCUUUAGUAUUUUUGAAUCACCUUUAAUCUUUGGUUUUAAGAACUCAUUGGUUGUAGCAGCUAACAUGUCAUUUAUUAAAGUCAUAAUUUUUAUAAUAAUUAUUGAAGUAUUACCUAUGUACCUUCUUGCAACCAUUUUUGUAGUUCCAUUAAAGUCUCUAGUAAUCCAUCAUGAUGUACUUUUAUUCUUUAUUCUUAAAUUAUCAAAAUUUAGUUUAAAUAUUUCAUUAAUAGGAGGAAUAUAAUUGUGAAACCAAGAUUUAAUUAAUCUUGAUUUUGAUUAUAACAAAACAAGGUUUAGAACUAAUGAUUAUAUUUCAAGUGUGAUUAGGCAAGAUGAUUUUCAAAGUGGCAAUCACAAAAACAAAUCAAGCCAAGAAGAAAUCAUGAAAAAGAAGACCACCUCAAAGAGAAGUAUUUUUCAAGACCCAAGCUUCAUAAGAUCUCUUUCUAAGGUUGUUGGUGCACUAAGAUUUUCAUGCAUUACAUUCUUUACUUAUGCACCAAAAUCAUCCAAGAUUUAUUUUGUUUUAAAUAUUUUAAAAAUCGGAUGAUUUCAUGUUUUCAAUUAAAACCUUGUGUUAAAUGUUUUUCAAACUUGUUUUAAAAUGUUUUAAGUUGAAAAAGUUGGUUGUUGAGCCAAAAACGGCUCAACCGGUUGAACUGAAUGAGGAAUCAGUUGACCGUCAACUCAACCAGUCGAGGUCCAAGUCGACCCCUAACUCAACCGGUUGAGGGUGCAAAAAACUUUCUCUUUCUUCCAGAACGAUUGUUCAGUCGGUCAAGGUUGAACCUCAACUGGUUAAGGUUUGGUCGAGGCCCAACGGUCACCUAUCUAGCAUUAAAUGCUAAUGGCUAAUUAACCGGUCAACCCCUAGCUCAACCAGUCGAACCCCCAACAGCUAGUUUGACUUUUUUUCUUCUAUAAAAAAGUUCCAAUCUUCAUUGUUUAAAGAGUUUAACCUUCCCAAACAUUUCUUGAAUAUAUUUGAGCCUUAGAAUAGUAUUUUUGAGUGCACCAUUGUUUUAAAACUUACAUAUCCUUAGUGCACCUUUCAAUCCUAGUUUUUUUUGUAUCAUUUGAGCUUAAAGUUUGUGUACUAGGAUUUUGUGAGAUCAUUUAUUUGUAAAUCUUUGAGAGGAAGUUUCUCAAGUGUGGGGUAUCACUUGAGGGGUUGUUUAAGAAUGAGAUAUCUCUUGAAAAGUGUAAAAGGUGCUUGGAGCCAAAAGUCCAAGAAAGUGAAUUAGAACCAUAAUCCAAUUGUAUUGCUUGAAUGCUUGGUUUGGAAGCUUGAAUUAGUGGAACCUUAAGCUUGGGAUUGAAGUUAGAGGAGAGUGGAUGUAGACCAGGUUGCACUGAACCACUAUAAAAUCUCGUGUUUGAAUUCUCCCUUCCCUAUUCUUUUAAUUUAUAUGCAAUUAUAUUUAUAUUGCUUAUUAUAUACUUGCAUAUAAUUGUCUCUUACAUUCACAUAGUUUAAAUUUGCAAAAAGAGACCAUCACCCUAUUCACCCCUCCCUUUAGGGUGAUUACCAUAGGUUGGAUUAGUCUAAUUUUUCUAACAAUAAUGAAUCCAUUUUUCCACUAUUUGAGGAACAUUGCAUUAUUCAUUUUAAAGAUAAGAAUCGAUCGUAUAAUCCUAAAGAUUUUGAAAGUUUAAGGUAGUUUUUUUAAUAACGAGAAAGGGGUUGUGUUGGAUUUUCUUAAAAAAUAUUUGAAUUCUAUAAAUUCAUACAUUCCACAAUAUGAUGACAAAUUUUUUCAUAGGAUGAUUGAAAAUUUUAUGGUUAAUUUUAUAGUUUUCAUAUAUCAUUUCAAACCGAGAUAGGAAAUCACCUGCAUACAAGAGAGGUGUAUGACAAUUAUAUUUAAUACAAUCCUAAAUUUAUUUAAUAAAAGAAUAAUAUUUAAAAAUAUGAUCAAUAUUUUUAAUAUUUUGAUUGUAAAAAUCACUCAUGUUUGUAAUUUUCACCCUUUUUUAUUUUCCUUUUCUUUUUGUAAUUUCCGGCCUUCCUUUCUUUUCCUUUUAUUAUUAUUAUUAUUCCCAUUAAUCCAAACAUUUCUUUGGAGUUUAAAGGUCCAACAACCCUAACUCUUCCGAAUGUUAAGGGGCUGUUUGGGAAAAUGGGAGAGAGCAGGUGCAUCCGCAUUCCGUCCAAACGGGCCCCGACAUUUGAUUUCAUUUCUCUUCUCUUCUAACCCUUCUCUAUUCAGCAAUGGCUCUCCAAUGACCACGUUCAUCAACUCGCCGAGUCCACUCACCGCAAAGCCCCAUCCUCUGAUCUGCAAAACCCAGUUCAAGAAGACCUUCAUAUCUUCGUGUUCCACAACUCAUGAGCGCUUUUCUCACGAAAUGGUAAAUCACCUCAAAAGCCCAUGUCUCGUUCACCUCCAAAACCACUCUUCUGUAUUGGGUUUUCUUAAUUUCUCUUCAAAACCCCACAUUUCUUCCCAUUUCGCGGUUCCCGCCUCCAGAGAACCUUUUCAGGCAAUAGUCUCCAGGGUCUGCGCCAUCUUGUCCCGGGUUCAAUGGAAGGGAAGCUCGGAGCUGAAGCAGUUGAGUCCACAGCUCAAAGCCCACCAUGUUGCGGAGAUUGUGGCUGUGCAUAAAGAUACAGAAUCGGUGAUACAAUUCUUUUACUGGAUUUCUAAGAGGCCUUUUUACAAACAUAAUAUGAACUGUUUUAUCUCGAUGUUAAAUAGGCUUGUGCGUGAUCGGGUAUUUGCGCCGGCUGAUCAUAUUAGGAUUCUGAUGAUCAAAGCUUGUAGAAAUGAGGAAGAGAUUAGGCGGGUGGCGGAUUUUUUAAAUGAAAUCAGUGGGAUGGGUUUUGGGUUUAGUUUGUAUAGUUGUAAUACAUUGUUGAUUCAAUUGGCUAAGUUUGAGAUGGUUGAGGGUGCUCGUAAUUUGUAUAAGCAAAUGCUGAAUAGUGGAAUUCAGCCGAGUUUAUUGACGUUUAAUACACUGAUUAAUAUAUUGUCUAAAAAGGGUAAGGUUCGUGAAGCUGAGUUGAUUUUGAGUCAGAUUUUUCAGUAUGACUUGAGCCCAGAUGUUUUUACAUACACAUCUUUGAUCCUCGGGCAUUGUAGGAAUCGUAACUUGGAUUUGGCAUUUGGGGUUUUUGAUAGAAUGGUGAAGGAGGGUUGUGAUCCAAAUUCAGUUACAUAUUCAACUCUUAUCAAUGGGUUGUGUAAUGAAGGGAGGGUGGAUGAAGCACUGGACAUGCUUGAAGAAAUGAUUGAGAAAGGCAUUGAACCAACAGUUUAUACAUACACUCUGCCUAUUACUGCGUUAUGUGCCAUUGAACAUGAGGAGGAGGCAAUUGAGCUUGUAGCCAGGAUGAAGAAGAGAGGUUGCCGUCCAAAUGUACAGACAUAUACAGCAUUGAUCAGUGGGCUGUCCAGAUUAGGUAAACUUGAGGUUGCAAUUGGGUUAUACCACAAAAUGUUGAAGGAAGGUUUGGUUCCAAACACAGUUACAUAUAAUGCCUUGAUAAAUGAAUUGUGUGUUGGAGGACGAUUCAGUACUGCUCUGAAGAUUUUUCACUGGAUGGAGGGGCAUGGUUCCUUGGCUAAUACCCAAACCUACAAUGAGAUUAUAAAGGGAUUGUGCCUAGGAGGUGAUAUUGAGAAGGCAAUGGUUCUUUUUGAAAAAAUGCUGAAAAUGGGUCCCUUGCCAACAGUGGUAACGUAUAACACACUGAUUAAUGGAUAUCUUACAAAGGGAAAUGUGAACAAUGCUGCAAGGUUAUUGGAUUUAAUGAAGGAGAAUGGAUGUGAACCAGAUGAAUGGACUUAUAAUGAACUUGUUUCAGGUUUUUCCAAGUGGGGAAAAUUGGAGUCUGCUUCUUUUUAUUUCCAGGAAAUGGUGGAAUGUGGUUUGAAUCCAAAUCCAGUCAGCUAUACUGCUUUGAUUGAUGGUCACAGUAAGGACGGGAAGGUAGAUAUUGCUCUGUCAUUGCUCAAGAGAAUGGAGGAAAUGGGUUGUAAUCCAAAUGUUGAAAGUUACAAUGCUGUUAUAAAUGGUUUGUCCAAAGAGAACCGGUUUUCUGAAGCAGAGAAAAUUUGUGAUAAGAUGGUAGAGCAAGGGUUGCUACCAAAUGUCAUUACCUACACGACUUUGAUUGAUGGGCUUUGUAGGAAUGGCAGGACCCAAUUUGCAUUCAAGAUUUUCCAUGAUAUGGAGAAAAGAAAAUGUCUUCCUAAUUUGUACACUUACAGCUCUCUCAUUUAUGGGCUGUGUCAAGAAGGCAAAGCUGAUGAAGCUGAGAUUCUGCUCAAAGAAAUGGAGAGGAAAGGAUUGGCUCCUGAUGAGGUAACAUUUACCUCACUCAUUGAUGGUUUUGUUGUGCUGGGUAGGAUAGAUCAUGCAUUCUUGCUUCUCCGACGGAUGGUUGAUAUGGGCUGCAAACCCAACUAUCGAACUUACAGUGUGUUGUUGAAAGGGUUACAGAAAGAAUGCCUUUUGCUUGAAGAAAAGGUUGCAGUCCAACACGAAGCAGUGUACAGUUUCAGUCCACAUGAGAAGGAUGUCAACUUUGAAAUUGUCUCUAAUCUCUUAGCUAGAAUGUCAGAGAUUGGAUGUGAACCUACUCUUGAUACCUACAGUACUUUAGUUAGUGGUUUGUGUAGGAAAGGCAGAUUUUAUGAGGCAGAGCAGUUAGUUAAGGACAUGAAAGAGAGAGGUUUCUGUCCUGACAGAGAGAUCUAUUACUCUCUAUUAAUUGCUCAUUGUAAGAAUUUAGAAGUGGAUCAUGCUCUAAAAAUCUUUCAUUCGAUUGAAGCUAAAGGCUUUCAGCUUCACUUAUCAAUUUACAGAGCGCUUAUUUGUGCUCUCUGCAAAGCAGGUCAGGUGGAAGAGGCCCAAGCUUUGUUUGAUAACAUGCUUGAAAAGGAAUGGAAUGCAGAUGAGAUUGUUUGGACAGUCUUGGUUGAUGGAUUGCUGAAGGAAGGAGAAUUAGAUCUAUGCAUGAAGCUUCUUCACAUAAUGGAAUCCAAGAAUUUCACUCCGAAUAUACAGACAUAUGUGAUUUUGGGUAGAGAACUGUCUAGGAUUGGCAAAUCCAUAGAAUCAGAGCCACUUGCUGAUAAAUUGAAAGUUCUGAAAGAUAGCAAUUAAGUUCAGGUUUUCUAUUGUAUCCAGACACAAAAAAUGUGUACAUGCUUCCAGAGGACAUAGUCAGCUAAUAAUGGGCCCUGGUAAUCCACUGAUUGGGGUGAGAUUUUCCCACUUGUGGAUAAUUAUUUUUUGGGAUGUAAUCCAUUGCAGCUCCAUCGUCCAAUAAAUGGUGAGCAUAUGAUGCCUUACUCCAUAGAUACAUACAUACAUAUAUAACAUUUAUUUCUUUGUUUUAAUCUUGUAAAUUUUCGGUUAUGGUUUCUGAAGAAAGAAAGCUCAUGAUUCCGAUUGCUUUGCUUAUUUCAGUAGUUUCACCUCACAAAGAAACAAUAUGCUAAUGUUUCCUGGAGCCUCACGCCAGAAUUACAUUAAAACAGCAGGAAGAAUGAGCUCUCGGUGCACUAGUAGGAGAAGACAAUCAUUAUUGGAUAAAAAUUGGAAGGCAUGAUUUCUAUGAAGCUAAUCAUAGUAAGAAUUGGAAGGCUUGGUUUUAUAUGAAACUAAAAGGUAUUGGUUUUAACUUAAACUUUACAUGACAACAUAUCUGUCAUUUACAUCCAUUGUCUCUUGUUACUGUGGAAAACAUAAAAUUUUUUGUUUGAGGAGGUGAUGUGACUGAGUAUUCUAUUUUGUUUAUCAGGAUGAUGAAUAUGAUGACAGGUUACCUAAUGUGGUUUAAUAUGCUCUGUAUGUUGCUUGACUUUAUACUUUUGCAUCACCUAUAUUGUGAUCAAUUCAUCAUUGUAACAAAAUCUCUGCGGGUCUGUAUUAAAAUUCUGGACCUAUCUGCCAUUUGAUCUUCUUCUGUUAAUCUACCAACAUUAUCAUGGAGCCACUUAAAAAUCAAACUACAGACAACAGACUGUCGGUAGUUAAUUGGGUUAGGGAACCAUUCAAUGCUGAGAAAUUUUUGGAAAUUGGUGGUUAAUCUGAAAAAAUGAGUUUUUUAUCCAGGACAAAUUCAAUAAUGAAUUAGCAAGUUGAAAAGGCAACACAUGUAAAGGCAAGGAUGUUGAGAGAGAGAAUGGAAGAAUGUUGGGAAGGCUGCCCCUCUAUGCAUAUUUUGGACUUUGUGGAAAGAAGCAUUCCAACAAGUGUUUGAAAAUGAGGAGUUUUCGGAUCAAAAGUUGAAAUGUUUAUUCCUGAUUAACCUUUUAGCAUGGCUGGGCAUCUACAUAAAGGAAGGUUCAAUGUCUUUGAUUGAGUUUGUUGAUGAGAAGGUUGUUUUUUGUUUCUCUUGAAUGGUUUUGCCUCUUUGUGCCCAUUGUAUAUUUCCUCCAUUCUCUGGUGUACUCUUUUUUUGNNNNNNNNNNNNNNNNNNNNNNNNNNNNNNNNNNNNNNNNNNNNNNNNNNNNNNNNNNNNNNNNNNNNNNNNNNNNNNNNNNNNNNNNNNNNNNNNNNNNNNNNNNNNNNNNNNNNNNNNNNNNNNNNNNNNNNNNNNNNNNNNNNNNNNNNNNNNNNNNNNNNNNNNNNNNNNNNNNNNNNNNNNACACACGCACACACACACAUUUUUUCUUGUCCAUCAGAAAAAAAUAAAAAAAUAAAAAAAUACAGGCAAGGAUGUUGCCAUUUUAAGCUGCAGAGUAAUUGUUGAAUUUUCAUUUAAUUUUAGCAUCAUUCAGCAUAUUUUACAAGAUCUGAAAAUAAUGUGCAAAUCAUUGAUGAACUCAAACUAAGCUGAUUGAACAAAAAAAUUGGGUGUGUUUUAGGAAUUUAACAAAUAAUUUGGGAACUCACAGUGCUUGAUUGAAGAAAAUUUCUUGCACUACUACAACCAGUGUGCAUGGAGAAGGGCAAUGAUUUCAUAAAAUGGUCCUUGUAGGUGUCUUCUGUUGAUGGACAUUAUAUAAUAACAAACAAUUAAAAGAACAAAAACAAAACCAAAACAACUAUUAUUAGUGCACUUAAUAACAUAUGGCUGAAUACAAUAGCAUACACCAAACACAUUUGCAAUUUGCUUUCAUAUGCCCAAUGUUGAAAAUUCUGUGGUGUAAAAUAACGAUCUCACCUAUUCCCUCACCGUCAACCCUCUUUAUACCUGGAUUUUUUUAUGAGAGGAGAUCAGCCAUGUGGGUGGUGAGGUAUCUUGAUUCGAGGGCAGAGUUGAGCAUAUUAAGAGGUGAGAGGGAUUGGAGGAAAAAUGCUACUAGGAGAAACUCAGAGGGUGAGCUUCUGAGAUGGAGAAAAAUAAUACUUGAGAUUUCUCCAGAAGCUAAAGCUUUUUUUUAAUUUUUUUUUAUUUAUCUCUUUUGCUCUCUUCUUUCUCAAACGAUAAGCCUUUGGGCUUAUUUACAAGCAUCUUUUAACUAAGAGACAACUAAAUGACACAGUAUGACCAACAAAAUGAUGUCUUGUCUACAUGAAGUAAUAAUAUAGUGUCACCUGUGCACCUAGUUGAUUUAUAGGAGAAGCAUGCAACAUUGGCCAUAUGUGUCCCACUAAGUGGUCUUUCAUCCCUCUCAGUCAAGCUACAAUGAGUUCUCUAAUAAAUGAGCUGAUAUUGCCUUAGAGAGCCUCCGGCUCUAGCCAUCAAAAUCAAGGUGCUCAAACCAUCUCAUAAACUUGAUGGUAGGGUAGGCCCAACCCCACCAACAAGGUACACUAAGCACAAUUAGGCUUCUUGAGCAGGACUCAGGCAAGUGUAAACCAUCUUGGCAUUGUGCUACAUAAUCCCCUCAAGAGAAGUAUUGGUAAUUCUUGAUUUUCAUGAAUGAUUGUGGAGACAGUUACUUGAAAGUAUCCUUUUAAUGAUGUGAGAAAAAAGGUUAGUGAAGAUGGGGAAGUGACCUUUCAUCACCUUCUUAACAUGUG
rnacentral:lncRNA from 1 species